GGGCGAGUGGCGGAAUUGGCAGACGCACGGGACUUAAAAUCCCGGGGAAGGUUUCUUCCGUGAGGGUUCGAGUCCCUCCUCGCCCA
rnacentral:tRNA from 1 species